rnacentral:rRNA from 1 species
AUUGAACGCUGGCGGCAGGCCUAACACAUGCAAGUCGAGCGAGCGGCGGACGGGUGAGUAAUGUCUGGGAACCUGCCUGAUGGAGGGGGAUACCUACUGUAAACGGUAGCUAAUACCGCAUACCAUCAGAUGUGCCCAGAUGGGAUUUGCUGGUAGGUGGGGUAACGGCUCACCUAGGCGCCGAUCCCUCGCUGGUCUGAGAGGAUGACCAGCCACACUGGAACUGAGACACGGUCCAGACGCCUACGGGAGGCAGCAGUGGGGAAGAUUGCACAAUGGGCGCAAGCCUGAUGCAGCCAUGCCGCGUGUGGGAAGAAGGCCUGCGGGUGGUAAAGCACUUUCAGCGGGGAGGCGUUACCCGCAGAAGAAGCACCGGCGAACUCCGUGCCAGCAGCCGCGGUAAUAC